rnacentral:rRNA from 1 species
CGCGUAACACGUAGGCAACCUGCCCGAAAGACCGGGACAACAUCUCGAAAGGGGUGCUAAUACCGGAUGUGGUCGUAGGGUGGCAUCACCAUACGCCUAAACCAUUCAUGGCUUUCGGAGGGGCCUGCGGCCUAUCAGCUAGAUGGCGGGGUAACGGCUCACCAUGGCGACGACGGGUAGCUGGUCUGAGAGGAUGUCCAGCCGGACUGGGACUGAGAUACGGCCCAG